UGCAAGUACGUUUAUCUUGUGGUAC
rnacentral:piRNA from 1 species